rnacentral:rRNA from 1 species
CCUACGGGAGACAGCAGUGAGGAAUAUUGGUCAAUGGACGAGAGUCUGAACCAGCCAAGUAGCGUGAAGGAUGACUGCCCUAUGGGUUGUAAACUUCUUUUAUAUGGGAAUAAAAUGUUCCACGUGUGGGAUUUUGUAUGUACCAUAUGAAUAAGGAUCGGCUAACUCCGUGCCAGCAGCCGCGGUAAUACGGAGGAUCCGAGCGUUAUCCGGAUUUAUUGGGUUUAAAGGGAGCGUAGGGGGAUUGUUAAGUCAGUUGUGAAAGUUGGCGGCUCAACCGUAAAAUUGCAGUUGAAACUGGCAGUCUUGAGUACAGUAGAGGUGGGCGGAAUUCGUGGUGUAGCGGUGAAAUGCUUAGAUAUCACGAAGAACUCCGAUUGCGAAGGCAGUUCACUGGACUGCAACUGACACUGAGGCUCGAAAGUGUGGGUAUCAAACAGGAUUAGAUACCCGAGUAGUC